UACGAAGGGGGCUAGCGUUGCUCGGAAUCACUGGGCGUAAAGCGCACGUAGGCGGGUCCUUAAGUCAGGGGUGAAAUCCUGGAGCUCAACUCCAGAACUGCCCUUGAUACUGAGGAUCUCGAGUUCGGGAGAGGUGAGUGGAACUGCGAGUGUAGAGGUGAAAUUCGUAGAUAUUCGCAAGAACACCAGUGGCGAAGGCGGCUCACUGGCCCGGUACUGACGCUGAGGCACGAAAGCGUGGGGAGCAAACAGG
rnacentral:rRNA from 1 species